rnacentral:rRNA from 1 species
CAGCAGCCACGGUAAUACGUAGGGUGCGAGCGUUAAUCGGAAUUACUGGGCGUAAAGUGUGCGCAGGCGGUUGUGUAAGACAGGUGUGAAAUCCCCGGGCUUAACCUGGGAACCGCGCUUGUGACUGCACAGCUAGAGUAUGGCAGAGGGGGGUGGAAUUCCACGUGUAGCAGUGAAAUGCGUAGAGAUGUGGAGGAACACCGAUGGCGAAGGCAGCCCCCUGGGCCAAUACUGACGCUCAUGCACGAAAGCGUGGGGAACAAACAGGAUUAGAUACCCGAGUAGUCCCUGUCUCUUAUAC